UAUUGAGAAAGAUUUGCUUUCCUGCUCUUGCUGUCUCCUGGAUGUGAAUGUUGCUUGUUAGUGCAGGACCACAAUGCUGAAGUGCAAUGCUCUUCUGUCACUAACAGGGUGCCUGGGAAUGGCAUCUUCCUGCUGAGGUACUAAAACCUGACAGCAGCUUCAGGGACUGCUCAUACAUAGGGGAAAGCAGCACCUGGCCUGCAACUGGCAGCAGCACUUGAUUUCUAAAGCCAAAGCGUGACAGGAGAAGGAGCUGCACUCAGAUGGUACUUCUGAGCAAGAAGCAGCACAAUGUGGUGACUGAGUGGGAACAAGGAAAAUGGAACAGUAGAAGUAAUGGUUACACGUACAUCACAGUGUAAGGAGCUGCAGUUCCUAGGCGACUUCUGUGGCACUCUGGAAGGAGAACAGGAAAGUAUUGUACAUCCUUCAAGUAAAUUCAGCAGUUUGACCAUGACAAGAGGAAGACUAAACACUUCAGAAACUAGCAUGAAAAGAUGAUGUGUGACCAACUGAAAUACAGGCAACAAGAAGAACUGACAAGAUUAAUGCAAAGACUUAGGUUUUGUCAUCUUCCAAUUCCAACUUCUGCGAUAUUAUUAGUUUUUACUGUUCUGGAACAACCAAAUUUCCUUAGGAGACUUCAAACAGAUCUGCAGUUUCAAGCACGGAGGAGUCAAUCAGAAGCAAUCCAGAUUAAGAUUAGAAAUCCUCUGCUGCUCAGAAAAGAUACAAAGAACAGUGGUUGUUGGAAAAAGGAGUGAAGAAAAAUCCUGUUUUAAAAGAUGACCCUGCCUUGAGUGAGUGAGCAGUACUUUGGUUCAGGCAUCACAGACAAGAAGGCCUGACAGCUCAGCCAUGAUGUGCAAAAUAGAUUUUUGGACAAACAACAACACAACACAAAAACUCUUCUUACUUUCCUAUCUUGAAUGUGACUUUGGGUAUAUACAUAAAUAAGGAGGGAUUUUUCAGGCAUCUUACAAUGAUAAUGGUGACCCAAAAAGUUUCCAUUCAACUAAUAUUUAAAACCAAUGGGGGACCCCCCCUCCACAUUUCAAAACAUUUCUGGAAGCAGACACUGAAACCAAGACCUUUGUGCUCCCAGAUGAAGGUGAUAAUUACUCCACUGCACUGCCAUGCUCUUUCUUUCUCAGCCCCAUUAAUUUUUUACUCCUUACAAAGAGUCUUCAACCUUUGAAGAGAAGAAAAUAUCCCCAUGUAAAGUCUCACUGUUGAAAAACUAUCCUAGGACCGGUGGAUUUUUAAUUCCCACACUGAGAAUAAUAGUGAGCUUCAGUAGGUAGAGGAGAUCAUAACAUAAUGAUUACUCUAAGAGGCAGGCACUGACAAUAUUAUGGAAUCACAGAAUCAUUAAUGUGGAAAAAGUCCUCAGAGAUCGAGUACAACCCUUGACCAAACACUAGCAACUAAACUGGAGCACUAAGUGCCCUAUAUGUCCAGUCAUUUCUUGAACACCUCCAAGGGAUGGUGACUCCACCACCUCCCCAGGCAGUCCAUUCCAAUG